UCUUCAAUGGUAUAAUGGUAGAACUCACGCCUGUCAAGAAGGCAAGUUGCCGCCUUUACACUACGCGUGCGACCUGGGUUCGAUUCCCAGUUGGAGAG